UGAGGUGUGAUUAGGAGUGAAAAGCUAAUCGAACCCGGAGAUAGCUGGUUCUCCUCGAAAGCUAUUUAGGUAGCGCCUCAUAUGUAUCCUCUCGGGGGUAGAGCACUGUUAUGGCUAGGGGGUCAUCGCGACUUACCAAACCAUUGCAAACUCCGAAUACCGAGACGGACUGUAUGGGAGACACACGGCGGGUGCUAACGUCCGUCGUGAAAAGGGAAACAACCCAGACCCACGGCUAAGGUCCCAAAUUUUGUGCUAAGUGGAAAACCAUGUGGAAAGGCACAGACAGCCAGGAGGUUGGCUUAGAAGCAGCCACCCUUUAAAGAAAGCGUAAUAGCUCACUGGUCGAGUCGGUCUGCGGGGAAGAUUUAACGGGGCUAAGCACAAAACCGAAGCUUGGGGUGCAUAACUUUGUUAUGCGCGGUAGAGGAGCGUUCCGUAAGCCGUUGAAGGUGGAUUGAGAAGUCUGCUGGAGGUAUCGGAAGUGCGAAUGCUGACAUGAGUAACGAUAAUGCGGGUGAAAAACCCGCACGCCGAAAGCCCAAGGUUUCCUUGCGCAACGUUAAUCGGCGCAGGGUGAGUCGGCCCCUAAG
rnacentral:rRNA from 1 species